rnacentral:rRNA from 1 species
UGGGGAAUUUUGGACAAUGGGCGAAAGCCUGAUCCAGCAAUGCCGCGUGUGUGAAGAAGGCCUUCGGGUUGUAAAGCACUUUUGUCCGGAAAGAAAUGGCUCUGGUUAAUACCUGGGGUCGAUGACGGUACCGGAAGAAUAAGGACCGGCUAACUACGUGCCAGCAGCCGCGGUAAUACGUAGGGUCCAAGCGUUAAUCGGAAUUACUGGGCGUAAAGCGUGCGCAGGCGGUUGUGCAAGACCGAUGUGAAAUCCCCGAGCUUAACUUGGGAAUUGCAUUGGUGACUGCACGGCUAGAGUGUGUCAGAGGGGGGUAGAAUUCCACGUGUAGCAGUGAAAUGCGUAGAGAUGUGGAGGAAUACCGAUGGCGAAGGCAGCCCCCUGGGAUAACACUGGCGCUCAUGCACGAAAGCGUGGGGAGCAAACAGGAUUAGAUACCCUGGUAGUCCACGCCCUAAACGAUGUCAACUAGUUGUUGGGGAUUCAUUUCCUUAGUAACGUAGCUAACGCGUGAAGUUGACCGCCUGGGGAGUACGGUCGCAAGAUU